GAUUCUAAGAACUGCAAAUUAUGGACAGUCACAUAUUAAAUAUAGAAUGGUUACACAGAAAAUUAAAAAAGCUAAAUGUAUAAAAGUUCAAUGCUUAAAGAAAUAUUAUUACAAAAAGAAAUAUAAAACUGGAAAUUAUUGGGAAUAAAGAGACCUUUAUUUUUUUUUUCACUAUAUUCUUAUAUUUAUUUUUUCACAUUUAGAAGUCCAUCCAAAGUAAUCAUCCUGGAUAUGGAAAAUUCUAUGUGACAAAGAAGACAGUAAACACCUUGGAAUCAAUCAUUAUUACUUAUCUGUCAUUGUACAUGCAGCACUUAGCACAGUGUUUAGCAUAAAUUAUUUCUAGAUCAAGCAAUAAGUAAAAUCCACCAACAAGUAUUUAAGACAUAACUUAUGAAAACCUAAAUGUACAUAGCAUUAGGUAAAUUGUUAAAUUUCACCUUUACAUACUUAAUGUAUUUUAUAUGGUCAAUAAGAUAUUAAAGAUUUGUAAUAUCAGGAAAACCUAAAUAUGACUAACAUUGGGCUACAGUCAUAAGGUUCUAUAAAGAGACCUUUAAAAAAGAAAAAAGAAAGAAAAGACAAAGACAAAUGCACUUAUUACCACUAAAAUUGUUCAUUUUGAAUCGGUUAAAUUCACAUUAUGUAAAUGUCACCCAUAUUUUUAAAAAUACAACUCCAAUAAAUGAAAAAUAUAAUCGUUCAAAUUAAAUGUCAAUGGAUAUGUUGAAAAUGUUUAGACACAGUUAAAGAGAGAAUCAGUAAAUGGAAAGAUAGGUAUGAAGAAUUUAUGCUUGAGAAAAAAAGGAGAUGGGAAAUAUGAGAGGUUAAAAGAACAUAAAAAGAUAUGGUCUAAUAGAUAUUGCUAUGGUUUGGGUUUUAUUUGUCUCCACCAAAAUUCAUGUUGAAAUUUGAUUUCCAAAAUUGAUGUUGAAAGAGUGGGAACUCUUAAGAAAUGAUUAAGUCAUUAAGAAGGAUUAAUGCUUUGCUUGAGGAAAUGAGUUCUUGCUCUUGUGGGACUGGAUUAGCUGUUAUGAGAGUGGGUUGUUAAAAAGUGAGGCUGCCCUUGUGUUUCCCUUCCGUAGUCACCUGCUUGCUCUUCUACUUUAUGCCAUAAAUUAGAGCAGUGCAAGGCCUUUUCACAAACUGUGCUCUUGAACUUCCCCGGGCUCCAGAACUGUAGUCCAAAAUAAACUAUAAACUUCUUUCCUUAUAAAGUACUUAUUCUCAGGUAUUUUGUUAUAGCAACAAAAAACAGACUAACUUAUAUGUCUAAAGUCCAGAAGAAAAGAGUGAGG
rnacentral:lncRNA from 1 species